CAUUCCAAUCAUAUUUUUUUAAUGUAUCCGAUAUAAGACCGUGCGCCCACCCAGGGAAUUGUGUUUCGAAUAUACUGCCCACCGCGAAUCGACCCGCGCAGUUUCCGGUCGUUAACCACCAGCGUAUAAAAUAUAUGGGCGUCGUCGGUCGUAAUGAUAUUAGCACUUCGAACCGGAUACCGAACGAUUGUCGACGACCGGGACGUGAUAAAUACUCGGUAAACGUCUUUGUGCGUUCUCAGGCCACGUCAUAGAUUUAUUGUAUACCCGCAGAGGGAUAGUUCCACUCAUAUAUAUAUAUAUACAGUUUGCAUGUACAGGAUUUGACAACGUCCUCCUAUACCAGUGGUUUUCAAACAUUUUUUAUACACGGUAGACACUGUGCUCUUCGCAACAUGUUCAAUAA